CAGACACCAACUGUUGGGGUUCUAUCUCAACAUUCUCCAGAUUCAGAUGUGAGCGAUAAACCGACUUCAUCCCUCCAACAGAAACCAACUGUUGAGGUUCCAUCUCAACAUUCUCCAGAUUCAGAUGUGAGCCAUUAACUGACUUCAUCCCUCCAACAGAAACCAACUGUUGAGGUUCUAUCUCAACAUUCUCUAGAUUCAGAUGACAGCCAUAAACCGACUUCAUCCCUCCAACAGAUUGACAGCAGGACAAAUCGCUGGAAGUGGGUAUGUCUCAAGCUUCUUCCACUUGGUCCACUCCAAAGCGGGCUGCAAAGGGGAAGAAGUGGAAGCAGUUGAAUGACACAUGUUGCAUUUUGUAACUGGCAACAAAGUACCAGGUAAAAAAGAUUGUGAAACCUCCCUCCAUAAAGAACUAGUAGCUCUACAGGACAGAGAUUGGCUUGCCAUCAAGUACUACAUCCAUAACAGAAUUAUAUUAAAAAAAGGGAAAACAAAUGUUUUCCCACAUCUUCUGUGGUAGUUUGAGUAUGUUACCAGCAAUUAAAAAAGCAAAAUAAACAGCAAGCGUUUUGUAUUUAUUCCAGAUAAUUCUUAGCGACAAAAUCCACAAAAACAAUUCAGUUACACUUAGUCGACAAUUACAUUUUUACCCAUGUUUCUUUUAAACUCUUCUUGGUUUUAGAUUACAGUAGCAUGGGAUUGGGAUUUUUUUUUUAAAUGACAACACAUCAACUAAACCAACUCAGGUGGUUUUGUUAAGUCUCUGAUGUCAUUAGCCUCAUAUGUCACAUGAACCUGAAAUCUUUAACACUCUGUGACGUCAUGGUUGUCAUAUUUCACAAACUUGAAAUCUUAAACACUCUGUGACGUCAUGGUCAUCAUAUGUCACAUAAACUUGAAAUCUUAAACACUCUGUGACGUCAUGGUCAUCAUAUGUCACAUGAACCUGAAAUCUUAAACACUCUGUGACGUCAUGGUCGUCAUAUGUCACAUAAACUUGAAAUCUUAUACACUCUGGUCUUCAUUUGUCACCUAAACCUGA